GUCCGUGGCUGGCGCAGCGGGCUCCAUGGUGGGAUGCCGCAGGCCGAGAGGGGCAGUGUGUGCGCAGCCGCCUGCACCGACGCCUCCGCCAGCUUCCAUCCGCCUCCCCAGGCCAACUCGCUGCGGCGCCGCAUUUGGGGACACCUAAAAUCCGUUCUCCGAUUGGAUGUGCCUGCAGGAGACCACGGGACACAAUGAGAUGUUUGUCUAAGAGGAAGGUUUGUCAUUUUUCAAAAAGCAGAGAGACACGUGUCUCCACCUAAGAAGAUGAGGAAGUGUUCACUGUGUCUCUUUACUCAUUUCAGAGGUAUCGUACCUUGAUACGAGAAUGAACUGUGUAUCUGUAUUUGUCUUUCUGGUGUGCACCCUGGAUGAUGGGUUGGAGUUUGUUUGCUCUGGAGCUGACAGUUUGACGUCCAGGUUCAACAGCCAAUAACCUGAUUAGUGUUACUAAUUUUUUUUCUGGUUUUAAAAUUUUACUUAUU